UGGUAUAUGCAGUUGGUAGCGCUAUAGUG
rnacentral:piRNA from 1 species